rnacentral:lncRNA from 1 species
GGAACAUUUAGAUUGUUUUUCUGUGGUACCAACACAGCUGCCCUCUUUUACCACUUUGUCUUAAUCUGUGGCAGUGCUCAAUGCAGAAGCUGGCUCAAGAGGUAAGAAAUUAAAUGACCUUUCCUAACCCAUUCAAGAGAAAGAGAUAGAUGCAUAAUACGAUGAGGCACUGCUGGUUUAGUUGUCUUAUCCAUCCCAUGACUUGUUUCUUCUCAUUCACAGAAGAGCCUGGCAAGAAGACAACGACAGCUCCUGCUGGUCGCAGAAGUAAUUUACCAGGAAGAGACCUAUUUCUUGUAUUCCGUCUUCCUUCAGGGAUCACCAUUUGUUUUAAAUGGAGUAGAGGAACUUUGAAUUUCCUUGAUUGCCAUGUGUUCUGCAAUGCUUGCUGAGGUUUUACAGUUGAGAAGCUCAGUCUACAACAUAAUAAAACCCUAAGUGAGACAUGGAAAGAAAGAAGCCAACCCUAUGGACAGCAGAACUGACAGGAUUGAACAGCUCUCCAGCACACCAAGG